rnacentral:piRNA from 1 species
UGAAAGAAUGAACUGCCAGACGGCUCUUGC